UACGAAGGGGGCUAGCGUUGUUCGGAAUUACUGGGCGUAAAGCGCACGUAGGCGGAUUGUUUAAGUUAGGGGUGAAAUCCCAGGGCUCAACUCUGGAACUGCCUUUGAUACUGUCGAUCUGGAGUAUGGAAGAGGUGAGUGGAAUUCCGAGUGUAGAGGUGAAAAUUCGUAGAUAUUCGGAGGAACACCAGUGGCGAAGGCGGCUCACUGGUCCAUUACUGACGCUGAGGUGCGAAAGCGUGGGGAGCAAACAGG
rnacentral:rRNA from 1 species